UCAACCUGCCCUUCAGAGGGGGACAACAGUUGGAAACGACUGCUAAUACCGCAUACGAUCUGACCUCGGCAUCGAGGAUAGAUGAAAGGUGGCCUCUAUUUAUAAGCUAUCACUGAAGGAGGGGAUUGCGUCUGAUUAGCUAGUUGGAGGGGUAACGGCCCACCAAGGCGACGAUCGGUAGCCGGACUGAGAGGUUGAACGGCCACAUUGGGACUGAGACACGGCCCAG
rnacentral:rRNA from 1 species